GAAGAUGAAGCGCCACGAAACUUCCAGAGCGUGGGACUAGUAAUCGGUAUAACAGGCAUCGUCGGAAACAGCCUCGCCGAAAUUCUACCUCUGGCCGACACACCAGGUGGUCGAUGGAAAGUCUACGGCGUUGCACGGCGUCCACGACCUACCUGGAACGCCGAUCAUCCGAUCGAAUACAUCCAAUGCGAUAUCACCGAUCCAAACGACACACAAACCAAACUCUCCGUUCUCACUGACGUCACACACAUCUUCUACGUCAGUUGGACAAACCGUCCAACGGAAGCUGAAAACUGUGAAGUUAACGGCGCUAUGUUGAAAAACGUUCUCAGUGCUGUUAUCCCAAACGCUCCGAAUCUCCGCCACGUGUCACUUCAGACCGGUGGAAAACACUAUUUAGGACCGUUUGAUCUGAUCGGGAAAAUUAAGAGUCAUGAGCCUCCGUUUACCGAGGAUCUACCGCGUUUGGAUGCACCGAAUUUCUAUUACACUCAGGAAGAUAUUUUGUUUGAAGAAACCAAAAAGAAAGAGGGUUUGAGUUGGUCUGUUCAUAGACCACAAGUUAUCUUUGGAUUUUCACCUUAUAGUUUGAUGAAUAUUGUUGGUACUCUUUCUGUUUAUGCAGCAAUUUGCAAACAUGAAGGUGUUCCGUUGAGAUUUCCCGGUACAAAAGGAGCUUGGGAGUCUUAUUCUGUGGCUUCUGAUGCUGAUUUGAUUGCAGAGCAACAUAUUUGGGCGGCGGUGGAUCCUUAUGCGAAGAAUGAAGCGUUUAAUUGUAGUAACGGUGAUGUUUUCAGGUGGAAGCAGUUAUGGAAGGUUUUGGCGGAACAGUUUGGGAUUGAGGAGUAUGAAUUUGUUGAGGAAGGUCCUCGUUUGAAGUUGUCGGAGUUGAUGAAGGAUAAGGGUGCUGUUUGGGAGGAGAUUGUGAAGGAGAAUCAGUUGACACAAACGAAGCUUGAAGAUGUUGCUGAGUGGUGGUUUGUGGAUCUUAUGCUUGGAGGGGAAGGAACUGUAGAUAGCAUGAAUAAGGCUAAAGAACAUGGGUUUGUGGGAUUCAGGAAUACCAAGAAUUCUCUCAUAUAUUGGAUAGAUAAGACCAAAGGUUACAAGAUUGUUCCGUGAGUAAAUGUUGUUGAUCUUCUUUCUGUUUUUGUACAAGUUAAACUAGAACUCCAGUUGCUUAAUAAUGGGUUAAAGAAAUUGUACAUUUAUCCUUGUUUAUGAUCAUGUUGUGUGUGCUGUUUCAUUGUUGUACUAAUAAUAAUAAUGUUGUACUGUGAGAUUGAAUUUUGCUUUUUGUAAAUGAAUUCUUGCUGCUGGAGUACCUCUCUUAGAGUUGGAGUACUCUCCAUUUUGCUGAAAUACUCAUGAGAUAGUAUUAUGCAAUGCAUUCCUUCUUGAUUGGAUUGGAUUUUCCGCUGUAACUACGUUACAACUCUCAACCUUCCGAUUUUGAUUGUCUGUUGAGACCGUUUUACUAUGUAAAUUGACUGCAUGAUUUAAACCGUCCGACCUCAAACUAAUGCGUGAAAUUGUGUAUAAAUUGGGCAGCAGAGAGUGGCAGACAAUCUUGAUCCGCAUUCCUUCACACACAUGGUUGUGGAAGAUACAUGCAGUUAUGUAAACGGUAUGCACACUACAUGAGGUACAGUAUCUAAGCUUAGUUUUAUUCAGUGUUGCUAUUUAUAACGGAUGGCUAAAACGCAACACACGAUAGAGAGAAACUGGAAGUUACAAAUAUAUAUAAUUUUGGCUUAUGGCGGAAGCUUGAUGGUAGAGAUUAGUGUUAUUUGUUGUUUUCUUCGCUCUAUGUUUCUUGCUAACCAAUAUUUUCCAGUUUUAUUACGACUAAUGUUUUAAGUGUAUAAAUGUGUAUAAAGGCCCAAUUUCUAAAAGUUGUAACACAAAUACAGAACAAAAUAUAGGAGAACGUAAGUUUUAAAAGACUAAACUGUUAUUAAUAUAUGUAGUAUAGUAUCUAAUAUACCCAUGUAUUAUAAAAAUCUAGCAGGAAAGAAAUCUCAUUAUUUUGUAGUUUAUAUUCAAGAGUAAUAAUCUAUGUUAAAAUGCCUAUUUUCAUGAGAUAACAGACUUAUAUUCCGCACCUCCACCAGAAAGAGAUAACAGAAAUAUAUUUGGCACCUCCACUUAUCAUUGUGUUCCAGCACGGCCAUUCGUUCUCCAUCACGUAAGAUAAAAGUCUCAUAUUAGAUGAGAGAUGAUCCGAAUUUAUCUUAUAAGUGGGAAAUUUUUUCACCUUAUGGAACAUUUUGUAGGUUUAAGUUAGGUCCAAUAUUUGUAAAAUAAAAAAUAAAAAAUUAGGUCAAGCACAAAAUUCUGAAAUGGUAUCAGUGUUCCCAAAAUCUGAUACAAUCAGGGUGGCGAUGAAUGAAACACACUUCCUUCCAAACAUACACUAAGUUUUGUGUUUCAAUGUUGACAACUACGUACGAUCAAUAGCCUUGGCAGAGUUGAGGCAUAAAGUAUGGUUCUCACUUCUCUCAUAAAGAGUGGGAUUUUAUAUAGUAUUGAUUGGUUUUUUAAUUUUUAGGUGAUAGUAUUGAAUUCUUGUUUUUCUAUUACUACAAUCCCAGGAAUAACAACAUUCGUAAGCUUAAUUCAUGCUUUAAGCACCACAUAUAUCAAAGUUAACGAUUCAUACUAGUGUCAUGCACCGACGUGUGUGUUAGACACCGCGACACGCGUAAUCCUAGAAGUGUUUGUGCUUCAUAGGUAUAUUUUGGAAGCUCUUGUGCGCGCACGCACACAAGUAAAGUGCAAAGUAGCAUACCACGCUGAUGCUUAUAUGCCAUUAAAGAAUGACAUUGUUUGAAUGAUCAAGUAUAUCACUGGUAGCUGGUUCCAAAGGAAGAUAAACUAGUAACUUCAUAAAUAUUUGAAUAAAAACCUAAACUUCAGAGAGGCUGGAAGGCAUAAAUGUAACCAUUGUUAACACUGCAAUCAGAAACAUCUCUCCACAAUUUAGCUGUCUGAACACUGCAAUUUCAGAAAGAGCUUUACCUUAUAUACUAGCGUUAACUAAUAGCAAAGUAGUUAGCAAGAUAAAUAAUUUAGAUAGAAACUACCAUAAAUUAAAAACAUGCAGUUAUGUAAAUAAUUUAGAUGGAAAGUAAACAACAUUAAUUAUAAUGAAGCAUGCAAUAUCAAUAACAAUAAAAAAAAACAAAGUGAAUGACCUGGCAAUAUACCCAACUCCUAGUAGCUGGAAUGUACGGUCUACAAUUGUGUGAUCAAUUAUGUGAUUCAGGUCACUCUACAGAAAUCUACAAGUUGAAUAAUGCAAACAAAUAUACUACAUAUCCUCAUUGUCCCUGAAGGAACCUUUGUCAACUUACAAACCCUUUGCUUCCUCUGGUCCUUUGUAUCCUCUUCACAUUCAUUUGAUCUCUCAAUCUGAGAUAUGAGCUGGUGGUGGUCUGGAGCUAUCGGCGCUGCCAAGGUAACCAUUCUCACUAUCCCAUCUUCAUGUCCCUUUACUCUCAUUUUUUAUUUUUAUUUUCAAUGGUUAAUGAUUAGUUUUUGUAUGUGCAGAAGAAGUUGGAGGAAGAUGAAGCACCAGGAAGCUUUGAGAAUGUGGCGUUGGUAGUCGGCGUGACUGGUAUCGUAGGCAACAGCCUCGCCGAAAUUCUACCUUUGGCAGACACCCCAGGUGGUAGGUGGAAGGUCUAUGGCGUUGCCCGGCGGCCACGACCCUCCUGGAACGCCGAUCACCCAAUUGAAUACAUCCAAUGCGAUAUCACGGAUCCAAAUGACACCCAGACCAAACUGUCAGUUCUCACCGAUGUCACACACAUCUUCUACGUCAGUUGGACCAACCAUCCCACAGAAGCCGAAAACUG
rnacentral:lncRNA from 1 species